CACUGUAGCUGUCUUCUUUUAGAAAGUUAUUAUCAUAAUAUAGAGAUUGGAGACGUGGCUCAGCAAGUUAGUGUGCUACCUGCUCAAGUAUGAGGAUCUGAGUUUGGAUUCUCCAGGAUCCAUUUAAAAAGCCAGGUAAACCAGGAUGCACUCCUGUAACGCCAUUGCUGUAGGGGAACAGAGACAGAGAGGAUCAUGGGACUUGUUGGUUGCCAGCCUAGUUCUAAAGUCAGUGAGAGAUCUGGUUUUCAAGAGAAUUGGGCAGACGGUGCUAGAACAGGACAGCUGACACCUUCCUGUGUCCUCUGCACCCAUGCAUGUGUCCUCCUCCAUACACGUGUGCCUAUGCCUUACUCGCAUACACCACCACAGUUGCAGAGCCUGGUCUGCUGUCCUGUAUGAUUCCCUCACUGUCAGGUUCCUGCUGGCUCCAGCACCAAUGGCUCUCUUUUCACUCUACCUCUUCCUUCUUGGCCCCCUGGAUACAUCCAUCCCUCUUAUGACUCAAACCUACCUCCAUUUCUGUCCUUUCACUAUGAAAGUCUCUACCACCCACACUGGCACUACCUCUGAUGUCCCACAGGCUCCCACUACUGGCGUCUGGACUCCAGCCGUGAUGGGUGGCAUAGCUGGCCCAUUGCUCAUCACUGGCCCCAGGGUCCUUCAGCAGUAGAUGCUGCCUUUUCCUGGGAUGAGAAAGUCUAUCUGAUCCAGGGCACUCAAGUAUAUGUCUUCCUGACGAAGGGGGGCAAUAACCUAGUAAGUGGUUAUCCAAAGCGGCUGGAGAAGGAACUUGGGAGCCCUCCCGGGAUCAGCCUUGAUACCAUAGAUGCAGCCUUUUCCUGCCCUGGUUCUUCCAAGCUCUACGUCACAUCAG
rnacentral:lncRNA from 1 species